CGCGACCCCAGGUCAGGCGGGACUACCCGCUGAAUUUAAGC
rnacentral:rRNA from 1 species